rnacentral:rRNA from 1 species
GAUCAUGGCUCAGGAUGAACGCUAGCGACAGGCUUAACACAUGCAAGUCGAGGGGCAGCGAGGGCGUAGCAAUACGCCUGUCGGCGACCGGCGCACUGGUGAGUAACACGUAUGCGACCUGCCCCCUACAGGGGUAUAACCCGUAGAAAUGCGGACUAAUCCCCCAUAGUCCCGCGGGCUGCAUGGCCUGCGGGGGAAAGGGUUUCCGGUAGGGGAUGGGCAUGCGGCGCAUUAGCUAGUUGGCGGGGCAACGGCCCACCAAGGCUACGAUCAGUAGGGGUUCUGAGAGGAAGGUCCCCCACAUUGGAACUGAGACACGGUCCAAACUCCUACGGGAGGCAGCAGUGAGGAAUAUUGGUCAAUGGACGAGAGUCUGAACCAGCCAAGUAGCGUGCAGGAUGACGGCCCUAUGGGUUGUAAACUGCUUUUAUGCGGGGAUAAAUUGACUCACGUGUGGGUCAUUGCAGGUACCGCAUGAAUAAGGACCGGCUAAUUCCGUG